CAAGCGUAUAUUCAGUUGCCUUAUCUUCCGCCGCAUAAUUCAAAUUUUCAAUUCCAGUUCCAGCAAAACCAUCCUCAAACUUAUGGAUCAUCUUUGCGAUCUUCUACUCAUUGAUAUAGGCAUUGUGUUCUUCGCCGGGCAUGAAAAGUGACGGUGUUACUACACGGGCAGCGGUUAGUUUAACUCUCCAAUGGAGAAUUGAAUCUGUCUCUCUCGCCCGACCUGAUAAUCUCUCUACCCGCUCAUUCCGGUUCUUAAUUCGAUUUAUUUUAAGCGUUACAUUGCCGCCGGGAAAGGAUCAAUUCUCCAAUGGAGUCUCUCUCGCCGGAGCUGGUGAAAGCCGCUCAUUUCUGGCAAGCACGCUGAUUAAGCAGCAAAUCAGGACGCCAUCUUCGCAGGAAACGAAAAUGGCUUAGCAGAUCAGAGAGCGUUUUAAGCAGCUCCUAGGCGUAGAGGUAGACGUCCAGGAGUUGAGAAACUUCUGGCACAGAGAUUUGGCGAGGAAAGUGGCAACACAAUAAAGAAUUAGACUUCUGCAGAAGAUGGUAACAUUUAAAUCACAAAGAUGUAGCAAUUAUAGAUGACAUAGGAUUGUACCCUAUAGCAAAUUCUGGCAUUAUAGGUGAUAGGAAGUUUUUUACACUGAUCUGCAGGUAUAUAUAAUCACUUUAUCUUUUAUUGAGAUUCCUAUUUCUAAAGGUUUAUUCCAACUCAUGGUUCCAGAAAAGUUUCGGUGUAAUGACACUAGCUUUGUAAUCUGUACAACAUCAAUUGCAGGAAUGUAUCGAAAUAUCGUCACAAUGCCGGCAAUUGCAGGUAAAUGUGUUGAAGAUGAUGAUAUGAUUCAAGAGAAUCUGAUUAACGAGAGUGCUUUAUUGCAAAUAGUUUUGGUUUCGCAUACAAGAAUGGGCAGCGGGUUCACAGGCAUUGAUAGAGCACAACCGGAUCCCGAUAUAAUUUAUCUAAGAAAAAAGGAGAGCGUGUAGUUCUCAAGACAAGUAAAUUAGAUUUUGUGCACCAUAUAUUGUACGUAUGCUAAUAAAUCAAUAAAUUAUUACUUAUGCACAUAUUGUAGGCAUCAAACAUUGUGCCUAUUUCUUAACGGGAUUGCUUCUCAUCACGAGUUUUAACAAAGUGCGGAUGUGAGCAUCUUUUUGCAGGAAGAAGAACAAACAGGUUUUCAUCAGAUUUUAUCUUGGUCUGUUCUCUCCUUCUGAGUUGCAAGAGUGGUUCUUUUAUUGAAACCAUCGAGAGAAUGGUAUGUGUUCUUUUAUUGAAACGCAACUACUCAUCCAGGUAGGUUCUUUACAAUUUUUUUAUUUUUGCGAAUAAACACCUCUUUCAUGUGAUUUGCAUUAUAUGCCACCAGGAACUACUCAAUGAAGUGUUAUGCAAGUAUGUCUGAAUAUCGAAGCAUAAUUCAAACUUUUUUUCAAGUUUAACAGGUGUAAAACCACAAGUCAAUUGGUAUGCAAUGAUUUUUUUUGACUUCAACUUGGUUUUAAAAUGUUAUAUUGAAUUGCACCCUACAAAUUUCUAUAUUAAUGCAAUUAAUUCUGCCUGUUUGGUGCAUUGAAAGUCUCUUAUUAAAAACACAAUAAGCUAUGAACUUGAGGCAACUUCUUAAGUAGAAAUAUACCAUUAUGCCUUUUAAUGCACUAAAAAAUUUGUUUAUUUCUUUUUCGUGGUUAUCUCAAAAUCAUUUUUAUAUUUUUAAUUAUAAGCAAUGUAAUUUUCAAGUAGUAGUCAUCCCAUCGCAGUAUGUGAUUUACAUAAUUAUAGAAGUAGAUUAUGAACUGCAGAUAUCAUAUCAUGGUUUGUCAAAAGAGAGACUGCUAGCAGUUGUUCACCGCUACUCAAUGUACCCAACUGUCACCGCUGCAGAGGUUCCCAAUCUCUCAAAAAGGAGUUGUCUGUUGCUUAUAGAUCCCAUUUUAUCUGCAGAUAUUGUGCAAAAACAUGUUGAAGUCGUGACAGAGUACAAGCUGGAGUAUGAGCCUGAUCAUAAUUCAAGUGUAGUGGUUUCAAGCAUUAAAGAAUAAUGACCAAGUUUGCAUAGAGUUUGCUGAGGUUCACCAAGUUUGCAUAGAGUUUGCUGAGGAAGUGCAUCCAAUUUAGCAGGCAAGACUCACUGUGUGAUUUCUUAAUCAUCAAUGGACAAGCCACCAUUCGGAAUUCUUCCCGAUCGACAAGUACCACGUAUAUGAUAUGGAGCUGCAUAUGGUUCACAAGGACAAGCAGGACAAGGUAGCUGUUGUUGGACCUAAGUUACUCGGACUCGGCUAAAAAUAUCCAACAUGGAUACGUGUUGGAGUGUCGGACUCGGCAAUAAUUUGAAAAUUUUACAUGUUUUUGGCUUAAAAUAAGUCUCGGAGUGUCCAUACCCAUGUCCGAGUGUCGAGUGUCCGACACGGGUACUCGAGACAAAAUGAAGAGUCCGGGUAACAUAGUGUUGGACAGUUGUACAAGAUUGGCAAACCAGAUGCCUUUCUAUCUAAGGUUACUCUUUAUAUUCUCCGGUAUAGCAUCAUUUUAACAUUUUAGCCUCUUUCUGGUGAUUCACUUUCGCAAUCUUCUUAAGCGUGCUAAGAUUAGAAAUAAUAAAAACAUAAUACCAACAAAAAAGAGCUACUUACUGUUAAUUUUUUAUCUUUACCCUUCCAAUAUCACUCAGCUGAGCGAAGACAUAGCGUUGCUGACAGACAAACGUGAGAACAAGGGUGUGGGGAAGAUGGAUGCGAGGGAGAUAGAGAUGUAGGGGAUAAAUUACUACAGAUACGUGGCCUCACUGACUGUUCAUCCCUCACUAACGUAGUUGGGCACUGAUAAAUGCAACACUUAUUUAUUGAUUGCUUCUGAUAUUCAUAAGAAUCCGGAUCAGUCUGUCGUGAUUUGUAAACCGAGAAGAACUCAUACCUGAUGUCUUGAUUUGUGAACCAAGGAGAACAAUUCAUAUUCUACGGAUGUCCGUGUUGAUUCACAGGAUCCUAGGCGUAGAGGUAGAGGUCCAGGAGUUGAGAAACUACUGGCACAGAGAUUUGGCGAGGAAAGUGGCAACACAAUAAAGAAUCAGACUUCUGCAGAAGAUGUUGUUAUUUCACUUGCAGCUCCUAGGCGUAAAGAUAGAGGUCCAGGAUUUGAGAAACUUUUGGCACAGAGAUUUGGCGAGGAAAGUGGCAACACAACAAAGAAUCAGACUUCUUAUGGCAGAGUGUCAUGAUUCUGCACAAGUCAGUUUGCAUGUGAUUCAUUCUGUCCGUGAUCAGAAGCAACAAUCUGAAUUAAAAAUUUGGAUAACUUUAAAAUACUUUAUUUCUUAUGCCUUUAUUUUUUUGAUUAUCUUCCUA